UACGUAGGGGGCAAGCGUUGUCCGGAUUUAUUGGGCGUAAAGAGCGUGUAGGCGGUUUGGUAGGUCCGUUGUGAAAACUCGAGGCUCAACCUCGAGACGCCGAUGGAAACCAUCAGACUAGAGUCCGGAAGAGGAGAGUGGAAUUCCUGGUGUAGCGGUGAAAUGCGCAGAUAUCAGGAAGAACACCCGUGGCUAAGGCGGCUCUCUAGUACGGUACUGACGCUGAGACGCGAAAGCGCGGGGAGCGAACAGG
rnacentral:rRNA from 1 species